CUUGUUGACUGAUUUCUUGAUUUCUCUCUCAGGAAGAGUUGCAGAGAAUGAAUCUUGAACUAAUCAGGAAAAGAUUAAACUCAACAAACAGCUCCCUUAGUCGGCAACAUCAUUGAGGUCAGUCUUCAUUGUCAGAUCAACAACCCUGGUUGAGAAUGCGAUCCACUUCUUUGCAUGGACGCAGGAAACUGGAGUCCUUGCCAAAGGAUUCACCUAUUAGCAUGUCUUGAAAACCCGUUUGGGCCUGUUGCAGAUGAUGAAAGGGAAGGAACUUCAUGUGAUUAUAAAUAGGAGAGGAUUCAAAUUUGAUGUUUCCGUGGCAAAUGCUCUGAUUGAUAUGUAUGGAAAAUGUGGGGAUCUGGAGGCUGCUCGUUGGCUGUUUGACAGAAUGCCUCAGAGAGAUGCUGCUUCAUGGACAUGCAUGAUAUCUGACUACUUGCAAAGAGGGAAUGGGUUCUGAUGACCAGUUGCCGCCUGGGUUUGAGGGACCUCAAGUCGCUGCCCUCCAAAUCCCUCCGAUCACGCGGCAAUGUCCUCCCAGAUUGGAUAGGGAUUUAUUGCCGAAGGCUUACAAAAGACAUCAGCUAGGUUGGGCAAUGUGGCCAUGAUGCAUACUAAUAUACUGGAUUGAGGAGGCUGGAUAGAUUAUCGCAGAGAUCCUCAAAGAUUGUCCAUCUUGGUUCCGGGAUUGCCGAAGCCUCGAAGUCUUCAACAUGUUUCCCGCUGGAAACAGAGGGACAAUUGAAUUGAUAUACAUGCAGAUGUAUGCUCCAACAACCUUAGCUCCUCCACGUAACUUCUGGACUUUGAGAUACACCACAAGUUUAGAAGAUGGCAGUCUAGUGGUAUGUCAUGCCACCAAGUCCUCUUUAUAGAUAGCUGAUUAGUAAGUGUUUCAUUUGGGGAGCCACUAUGCAUUCCCACCCCUUUGAUUUGCUAGUACCCAUCUUCCAUUUUGGUAAUUGAAACCAUUCUAGUAUACAAUACCCAUUUCCCAUUUUGGCAAUAUAAAUUGUUUUUGUCUUCUAUUUCAAUCACCAAAAUGCAAAUUGGGUAAUAGCAAAUCAUUCAGGGUGGUUUUAGAUAUUAUUUCCUUUACUACCCGGAGCUGUUGGAAAGGGUCCAUUUCCAUUUGUGUAAAUUUAACUAAAUUUUGAAGACAAACUUUCCAUAGUUUUCUACUAUAUGGGAAGGCAAUGCUAAUGAAACUUGUCAUUGCCUAAGAUUGUGAGGAGGAAUGAAAAUAAAA